rnacentral:rRNA from 1 species
CCUACGGGAGGCAGCAGUGAGGAAUAUUGGACAAUGGGCGCAAGCCUGAUCCAGCCAUGCCGCGUGCAGGAAGAAGCAUCUAUGGUGUGUAAACUGCUUUUGUACGGGAAGAAACACUGCUACGUGUAGCAGCUUGACGGUACCGUAAGAAUAAGGAUCGGCUAACUCCGUGCCAGCAGCCGCGGUAAUACGGAGGAUCCAAGCGUUAUCCGGAAUCAUUGGGUUUAAAGGGUCCGUAGGCGGUUUGGUAAGUCAGUGGUGAAAGCCCAUCGCUUAACGAUGGAACGGCCAUUGAUACUGCCAGACUUGAAUUACUAGGAAGUAACUAGAAUAUGUAGUGUAGCGGUGAAAUGCUUAGAUAUUACAUGGAAUACCAAUUGCGAAGGCAGGUUACUACUAGUUUAUUGACGCUGAUGGACGAAAGCGUGGGGAGCGAACAGGAUUAGAUACCCUGGUAGUCCACGCCGUAAACGAUGGAUACUAGCUGUUCGGGGUAACCUGAGUGGCUAAGCGAAAGUGAUAAGUAUCCCACCUGGGGAGUACGUUCGCAAGAAUGAAACUCAAAUGAAAUUGACGG